rnacentral:rRNA from 1 species
CCUACGGGAGGCAGCAGUGGGGAAUAUUGCGCAAUGGGCGCAAGCCUGACCCAGCAACGCCGCGUGAAUGAAGAAGGCUUUCGGGUUGUAAACUUCUUUUGUCAGGGACGAAGCAAGUGACGGUACCUGACGAAUAAGCCACGGCUAACUACCUGACAGCAGCCGCGGUACUACGGAAGUGGCAAGCGUUAUACGGAUUUACUGGUUGUAAAGGGCGUGUAGGCGGGACUGCAAGUCAGAUGUGAACACCACGGGCACAACCGGUGGACUGCAUUUGACACUGUAGUGCUUGAGUACUGGAGAGGCAGACGGAAUUCCUAGUGUAGCGGUGAAAUGCGUAGAGAUUAGGAGGAACACCAGUGGCGAAGGCGGUCUGCUGGACAGCAACUGACGCUGAGGCGCGAAAGCGUGGGGAGCAAACAGGAUUAGAUACCCGGGUAGUC